rnacentral:lncRNA from 1 species
UUUGUAAGAGAUAAAAUUAAACAUAUGAUUAGUUGAAUUAAUGUAGCAUUGUAAAUAUUAAAAAAUUUAAUUAUUAUAUAGAACUCUGGAACCAAAUGAAAUCGAAUUCAACUGAACCCGAACGAUUUCAUAAUUAAAUUUGGACUGUACUUUUCUAUUUAAUAAAUACCCGAAAAUUUGGGUUCAGUUCGAUUCCCGUUAGAACCGAACCGAAUCACACCAUAUCCAACCCUAACCAUAACUAUUGCCAAAAGAAAGAAGAAGCCAAAAUCAAAUCAUAAAUCAAGCAUUAUGGCAUUUUACUUUUGUCAUGUCUCAACCUCUAACUUAGUGAAAGUGGCUCCCUUAGUAGCUGUUGCUGAUGGGAAAUAAUGCUGCCAAUUCGGUUCACUUGUAUGCCUUGAUUAACUCUUUCAUGCUCACGGAAGAUGACGUUUCUGAAGUCGCGACAAGGGUGCACGCGGUGGAUGGUGCGGGAAGUUUGGCGGACUAGGAGGCGGAGGAGAGUAAAAGUAGAACCAUGCAGGAGGUGGUGGUGACAAGGCUACAUGUGGCGGAUGGUUGGGCAAGUGUGACGGACUAGGAGGUGGAGGAGAGUAAUAGUAGAACCACGCAGGAGGCGGAGGUGGCGGUGGUGUUCUGUGCAACCUUUUUCGUUGAGGUGGUGGUGUUCUGUGCAUCCCUUUUCGUUGAGGUGGUGGUGGUCGGCUUACCUUAUGCACACACGGACUCCUAUUGCCACUGCUACGAUGAUUUAGAGUCGGAGUAAGAUUGUGAUCAUAAGAUGAAAUAUAACAGUGCGAUUGAGCUGAAAUUAGGGUCGUAAAUGUUACGAAAACAAGGAUUAGUCCAAUCCUUGCUUUUAUGAUGGACCAAAUCAUUGUCAAGUGUUGAACUUGUCUUCGUGAAACAUUAGUGUGAUGAAUACAUGUUUGAAGAGACGAAUUUAUAAGUGGAGAGGAGUGAGAAUAUAUGGAUUAUACCAAACCCCAUAUAUCAGAAGCAGUUGGUAUAAAUUAUGCAAGAAAAUCCACCACCAACUAAACUUUUUUUGCGUGCUCUCUUUUU